GCAUCAUUUCGGAUUAAUCCAUUUUGGUUUGCAGAAAAUAUCAUCAAAUGGAAAAUAAUGUACAAAUCAAAAGCAUUCAUAUCCUUGGAAUUAAUGUGUUGUUGAGCCUUCUGCAGCAGUGACUGCUUUAAGAUAAUUGGAAUAGCCCCUAAUAAGCUUUUCACAUGUGUCAAUAGAAAUUUUAGAUCAUUUUUCAAUGUAUAAAUUGUUCCAAUUCACUCAAAUUUUUAAGAGAUUGUGUAUAGCUGUUUUCAGGUGAUAUCAAAAAUUCUCUAUUAGAUUAAAGUUCAGAUUUAAGGCCAUUCUAGAACAUUGAUUUUGUUCGUCAGCUAUUUUUGCAUAGAUUUUUACAAAUGUUUGGGAUCAUUAGGAGAGCUGAACCAACCAAACUUUCAGACAGAGCUGCUGCUAAUCAGUUAAUAUUUUUUGAUAGGCAAAGGAAUUUGUUGUCAUGUAUAUAGAUCAAAUCUCUGGUCCCAUUUACUGAAAAGCAACUCUAUAGGACAAUAUUCCCACUGUGUUUCACAGUAGAGAUGUUUUUUCCUACAAGUAUCUCAUUCUUCUUUCUCCAAAACACGACUUGUGUCAGCAUGACCAAACAAUUUUUUUUUAUUUCAUCACUUUAUAAAUACUUUGCUCCACUUUGCUUCAAAAAUAAUAAUCUUUGUGCUGUUUGGCAAAUCUCAAUCAAUUGUACAUAUGACAUUUGUGAAAGAUUUGUUUGUUCUUGCCCUGUGAUCAGCUACACUAUUGUCAUGCAGUUCAAUUUAUGAUUGACUCAGACAUAUCAGUUCCAACUUUGGAAAAUUCAAUUUUAA
rnacentral:lncRNA from 1 species